UACGUAGGCAGCGAGCGUUGUUCGGAGUUACUGGGCGUAAAGGGUGUGUAGGCGGUUGCUUAAGUUUGGGGUGAAAUCUCCCGGCUCAACUGGGAGGGUGCGCCGAAUACUGAGUGACUCGAGUGCGGGAGAGGAGAGUGGAAUUCCUGGUGUAGCGGUGAAAUGCGUAGAUAUCAGGAGGAACACCGGUGGUGUAGACGGCUCUCUGGACCGUAACUGACGCUGAGACACGAAAGCGUGGGUAGCAAACAGG
rnacentral:rRNA from 1 species